rnacentral:rRNA from 1 species
GUGUCAGCCGCCGCGGUAAUACGGAGGAUGCAAGCGUUAUCCGGAAUGAUUGGGCGUAAAGCGUCCGCAGGUGGCAUUGUAAGUCUGCUGUUAAAGAGUGAGGCUUAACCUCAUAAAAGCAGUGGAAACUACAAAGCUAGAGUGCGUUCGGGGCAGAAGGAAUUCCUGGUGUAGCGGUGAAAUGCGUAGAGAUCAGGAAGAACACCGGUGGCGAAGGCGUUCUGCUAGGCCGCAACUGACACUGAGGGACGAAAGCUAGGGGAGCGAAUGGGAUUAGAAACCCUGGUAGUCC